CUCUGAUACCAAAUGAUAAGACCCUAAAGUCUUAUCGUAGGCUCUGAUACCAAAUGAUAAGACCCUAAAGUCUUAUCGUGGAAGAAAGAGGAGAAAUGGGGAUGAUAAUGAUCUCUUCGAGGGGAUCGGCCUCCUUGAUCGCUUCGAGGGGAUCGGCCCUCCUUGAUCUCUUCGAGGGGAUCGGCCCUCCUUGAUCACUUCGAGGGGAUCGGCC
rnacentral:lncRNA from 1 species